UGCUUUCUAGUCUGUAGGGUUAAUGUGUGUCCUUUUGUGCCAUCCUUCUGUAAUUCCUUUUGAUCCUCAUGUUCCCAUGAGUAGCUGUAACUGCUUCUAAUAGGUUUGUCCCUGCGAAAGUCAUCACUCUUUGAAGAUUUCUGACUAUAAUCGGCUUCUCACAAGUGCUGACCCAGUGAGGGAGCCAAUGGAAGAAGGAUAAUCACAUGGCUGGUUUCUUGAUUAAGCAUGAUAUGUUUUUUUUUCUUUAGGUAGUGUUAUCCAGAUACCACAAGCAGUAUCAAUUUGUAAUAAAUACUCAGUUGUGACUUGAGUUUGAUGGCUAGAAACAAUUUUCCAUAUGAUGGAUGGGUGAUCCCCAUAAUCUUAGUGUAAGUUACUCUACUAGCUGAUGCCCUUCACCAAGGUUAGUGAAAAAUUCAUGAGUGGCUCCUUUCACAUA